rnacentral:rRNA from 1 species
UACAGAGGUCUCAAGCGUUGUUCGGAUUCAUUGGGCGUAAAGGGUGUGUAGGUGGCGCCGUAAGUCGGGUGUGAAAUUUCGGAGCUUAACUCCGAAACUGCAUUCGAUACUGCGGUGCUUGAGGACUGGAGAGGAGACUGGAAUUCAUGGUGUAGCAGUGAAAUGCGUAGAGAUCAUGAGGAACACCGACGGCGCAGGCAGCGUCCUGGCCGCUUGCUGACACUGAGGCACGAAAGCUGGGGGAGCAAACAGG